UCAUUGAUGUAACAAAAUCCAGAGGCUUCACAUUUCUUGGCAUGAUGUAAUCCACCAGCCCAGUUUAUAGCAAUAUCACACAGUUUAUUGUUCAAUCGGCGUGCAGCAUCUGCAGUUCCACCAGCGUACAUCUGACAAAAUUCAAAUAAGUUGUCAAACACAGGACAGUCUUCUCCGAGAUUAUCUGACAGAAAUGAUCAACAAUAAAGGUGAAACUUGUUAUUAGCUAAACAAUGAACAGAAAAUAUUAAGAUAAAAACAUUAGGAUAGGAGAAUGUUAACAUGAGAAAUUAAAUAUCAACUAUUGAAAGUGAGGAUGCAAGCUAUUAUUGAGAGGAAAAGUAACAACAAUUUGAGGGUAAAAAGAUUUGCUAUCUUCCAUAUAACUUCCCAACCACCGCCUCCUUUCUCUCUUUAA
rnacentral:lncRNA from 1 species